rnacentral:rRNA from 1 species
UACAGAGGUGGCAAGCGUUGUUCGGAAUUACUGGGCGUAAAGGGCGCGUAGGCGGUCUUGUAAGUCUCGUGUGAAAUCCCUCGGCUUAACUGAGGAACUGCACGGGAUACUGCAUGACUUGAGAUCGGGAGAGGGAAGCGGAAUUCCGGGUGUAGCGGUGAAAUGCGUAGAUAUCUGGAGGAACACCGGUGGCGAAGGCGGCAUUCUGGACCGAUAUUGACGCUGAGGAGCGAAAGCCAGGGGAGCAAACGGG